GGCUCAGAACGAACGCUGGCGGCGCGCCUAAUACAUGCAAGUCGAGCGAGAAGGUGUAGCAAUACACUUGUAAAGCGGCGAACGGGUGAGGAAUGCAUGGGUAACCUACCCUAGAGUGGGGAAUAACUAGCCGAAAGGUUAGCUAAUACCGCGUACGCCUCCCGGACUUCGGUUCGGGAGGGAAAGCGAUACCGUGGGUAUCGCGCUCCUGGAUGGGCUCAUGACCUAUCAGCUUGUUGGUGAGGUAACGGCUCACCAAGGCUUCGACGGGUAGCUGGUCUGAGAGGACGAUCAGCCACACUGGCACUGCGACACGGGCCAGACUCCUACGGGAGGCAGCAGUAAGGAAUAUUGCGCAAUGGGCGAAAGCCUGACGCAGCGACGCCGCGUGGGGGAUGAAGGUCUUCGGAUUGUAAACCCCUUUCGGGAGGGAAGAUGGGACGAGCAAUCGUUCGGACGGUACCUCCAGAAGCAGCCACGGCCAACUUCGUGCCAGCAGCCGCGGUAAUACGAAGGUGGCAAGCGUUGUUCGGAUUUACUGGGCGUACAGGGAGCGUAGGCGGUUAGGUAAGCCCUCCGUGAAAUCUCCAGGCUUAACCUGGAAAGUGCAGAGGGGACUGCUUGGCUAGAGGAUGGGAGAGGAGCGCGGAAUUCCCGGUGUAGCGGUGAAAUGCGUAGAGA
rnacentral:rRNA from 1 species